GAAGUCCAGCACCGCCCUGUCCUGCUUUCUGCCGCUGCGCUGAUUUAAAAGAAGCACUGAGCCUCAGCACAGGUUUGGCACAAGACCUCCUGAGCAGGACAUGUAACCCACAAAAUAUAGCCAGUAUCCAAGGCUGCUCACAACUUUGCUUCUUGUGAGAAAUAAAGAAGACGAUGGUCUUAAAAGGGUUUUUUACCACAAGAAACUCCCCCCCGUUCAUGGAAUAUACCUCUUGUGUUUCUCUGAGGCCUCUUUCUGCCAUUCUGAGGAGUAUAAUGAUAAAUCCAGAGGGUUUACCACUGAUCAUGGGGAGACUAAGCAGGUUAUGUGUGACGUGUGGCGCCUCAGCAGGGACCCCUGGUGGUAGAGAAGACUUACUGCAGCACACAUUCAGGAAUCUGCACGUGCUCCAUGGGGAUGAUGUGACUGAGCUCUUCCAGGCAUCUCCUCAACCAGCCGAUUCCCGGCAUCUUCCUGCGGGGAGUUCCUCCGUUCAGGUAAACGAUCAUGUAAUCUUCUGCCACCAACAGCUCCAGGCUGCUAACGACAUACCUGACAGGAAAACAAACAAGACUUAGUUUAACCAAGCAGCGAUUUUUUUUUUUUACUUUCUUGGUAUCUGAGCCAAAUGAAGAAGACAACAUUCGAUGGCAUGAACUAAUUUUGUCAACUUAAUUUUCAUCCACUUGUUGCCUAAAUGGCAUCAGGGUAAUGACUGUCAUAGAAAUUGCAU